GGCUGAAAAAUGUGGUAAGUGGUAAAGCCUAAGUCGACCAGCCUUAGGCGAUGCAGAAUAUAAAAGAAGUGGAGUUUGUCUUUGUUACUAUUAAAGUUGAAUGAACUCGAAGACUCUCUGGCGAUAUAUAGAUUCCCCGAAUUUUAUAAUAGCCUAGAAUGUAUCCGUCAAACACCACCCUUUGUUACUGAAAUUGUGUCAAUUACACACCUUUUAACUUAAAAUCAUCUAUGUAAACCAAAAAAAUGUUAUCAAAAAUCGUGGAACAAGUAUAAAAGAUGCAAUCAAGAUGCAAUCAGAAAUCCUUUGGGAAUGUAUUGUAUGAUUUAUUAUUUAUUGGUACUUUUCAACUAUUAAUCAACCAUUAACGGGCUGACUUUUUCGUGGGAGAUCAUUCAAGCAAGCUAAGCGCUUUCGACUUCUUCCUCGUCUUUCUCUGUAAUAGGUGCACUGUUUUUAUAGUUGCCCCCGAAACAUUUGCCGCAUCUUAGGUGGCAGAAUAACCCUACCCUUCGGCAAGUACAAGUUAUGCCGCAUCCUUUUUUUGCAAUUCAUCAAGAAUAGAACAGAAAAAGAGCUUUGCUGUUUAAUGGAAAUUUUACCAAAUUCUGUUAACAUUACCAAGCAAAUGCAAAAUUGAAGUGAUAGUAAUGUACGAUGUAAUUACGCUUGAAUUUGUUUCGGCAAAUAUUAUGUUUCAGAGAUAUGGGUAAUUUAGAAGUUUCUGAAAAUAGUUGAAUUCAUUCGGGCUCAAUUUGUUUACCCAAGUCGUGCAGUGGAAAAUUAUACGUAUAUAGAACCAAAAAAUUCGCAGUGAACGGUGAGUUGAAAAUUGUAAAGCUUUGAACUAUCAUCAUCUAUUGUUGGUAAAUGGCAAUCGCGGCGUUUAAUAAAAAGUGAAUAUGAGAUACUAGGGGUGAUAGAAAGUUACACACUUAAGGGCAAUGUAAAUACUGAAGAAACCUAACUCGUUCGAUUCAAACUACUCUACUCGGUUUAAACUACUUGCCCAGUAACGUCAUAUGAAGUGUCACCCAAUCACCGCAUUUUCGUUCCCGCCUUGUGAGAAUUCGAUUUUUAAACCUUUAUAAUUAAUUAAUUAAUAAAUAAAAAAUGAGCGUUCGGAAUUGGCUUUUCUAACGGAGAUAUUAAUAUGGGAAGAAAAAUUAAUUAAUUAAUAUAAU